GUCCGAAGAUCCCUCCCUCACCAUCCUGCCUACCUAGACUAUCAGGCGCCUUUAAAGAGGGCUUCUGUGCAGAAGCCCGCGAAAAGACUCCGAACAAAGGAGUCAUCCCCGGUUUGGCGCGCAGAGAGAAACACGAGAAAGACUUUAACAAAAAAGAAAUGGCGAAUAAACCCAGCCGGAACCAAAAUAAAAUGUAUUUGGUCAAGCGGGUAAUAUAAUAGCCUAAAGCAAUACAUUAAGAUACUUGCGGUAGAAAAGUUAGGGUAGAUACCACUGCCACCAGCCAACUGUUAAUGUUAAGGGAGCGAAACAAUGCUCCAAGAGUACAGACAAAAAAGGGAUAAAAGUUCACCCUUUCCAAUACUCCAUGUAAGAUGCGGUGUACUGGGUCUGUGGUUUAAAGUGACUAUAGUUAAUGGCAACUUUACCUGUUUUUAGGGGACAGUAGUCAGCCCUAGAAAAAUGGAAUCAGUGGGAAGUCUCAAAGACAACCCUGUGUCACUGCACUGAAGGUGCUGUGUAACACACACAAAAAGUGGUGCACAUGGAGUAGGUAAGGCUCCAGUGCCCAAGAACACACAAAGUAGAAAUACACAUAGCAAAACACAUGUAAGAGUGGGAAAAAAGGCUCACACUCUUACCAGGUGAAAAAACUAAAUCCUAGAAAUCCAGCAAAGCUGCUGAGGGACUCAUUAGGUAAGGGAAAUCAGCAAUUUAUGAGAAUUCUCCCUAACAAGCCCCUUCCUCUUGACGGCACCUUGAUGCUCUUGACUGAGUGUUCUGGGGGUCCAAAGCGUUUACUUUGAAAAAAAAAUUGUGUUCAAAAUAGGCCGAUCACCUGAAUACUUCAGCUAGGAAUAAUGGAAUAGGACCGGUUCUAUUUUGUUGGUUUUCAGAACUGGGGCCAUGAUUAAGAGGGACGGCCGGGGGCAUUCGUAUUGUAUCACUAGAGGUGAAAUUCUUGGACCGGCGCAAGACGAACCAAAGUGAAAGCAUUUAGCCAAGAAUGUUUUCAUUAAUCAAGAACGAAAGUCAGAGGUUCGAAGACUAUCAGAUACCAUCGUAGUUUCUGACCAUAAACAAUGCAGACUAGCGAUCUGGCAGCGUUAUUCCAUGACCUGCCGAGCAGCUUCUGGGAAACCAAAGUCUUUGGGUUCCGCGGGGGAGUAUGGUUACAAGCUGAAACUUAAAGGAAUUGACAGAAGGGCACCACCAGGAGUGGAGCAUUUGGCUUGAUUUGACUCAACACAGGAAACCUCACCCGGACACGGAAAGAAUUGACAGAUUUGAUAGCUCUUUCUCGAUGCUGUGGAUGGUGGUGCAUGACCGUUCUUAGUUGGUGGAGCGAUUUUUGUCACGUUAAUUCCAAUAACGAACAAGACUCCUCCAUGCUAACUAGCUACGCGACCUCCAUCAGUCGGCGUUCAACUUCUUCGAGGGACAAGUGGCGUUCAGCCACACGAGAUCAAUCAAUAACAGGUCUGUGAUGCCCUUAGAUGUCUGGGGCUGCACAUGCUACACUGAAUGGAUCCGCGUGUGUAUACCCUUUGCUGACAGGUGCGGGUAACCCGCUGAACCCAGUUAGUGGUGGGGAUUGCAAUUAUUUUCCCAUGAACUAGGAAUUCCCAGUAAGUGCGAGUCAUAAGCUUGCGUUGAUUAAGUCCCUGCCCUUUGUACACACCUCUUUUGUCGCUACUACCGAUUGGAUGGUUAAGUGAGGUCCUCGGAUCGGCCCUGCCGGGGUCGGCAACGGCCCUGGCGGAGUGCCGAGAAGACGAUCAAACUUGACUAUGUAGAGGAAGUAAAAGUCGUAACAAGGUCUCCGUAGGUGGACCUGCGGAAG
rnacentral:rRNA from 1 species